CGCCUUUUCGGUUCCCCCUCUCGCCCUCUGUGUGGCUUCGUACAUCUUCGCUGGCACUGUACUUCUUCCUUACCUCUCCUCUCCGCGUCUUUCCGCUGGCACUGUACUUCUUCCUUACCUCUCCUCCGCGUUUUCGGCAUGUGGGUCCCUUGCGCAGCAACUUCUCCCUUUCCCUUUCUCGCGAACCCUAUGUUCGCCUAGCGUUACCCUCUCCGCGGAUCCGCCGCUUCCCCGGAAAUCCCUCUCUCCCUAGAUCGUACGCCUGUAUCUACCCAAAACGGCGCAUUUAAUGGCGCCGCGCAACUCCGCUGGCACUGUACUUCUUCCUUACCUCUCCUCUCCGUGUUUUCGGCACCUCUCCGGAGAUCCAUUGCUUCUCCGGAAAUCCCUCUCUCCCUCGACCGUACGCCUGUAUCUACCCAAAUCGGGGCAUUUAAUGGCGCCGCGCAACUGCCGUCGGUGCAUUAAAUGCCCCCUAUCAACCCGUCGCUCCACCGGAGAUGGUUUCCUCCCUUCGCCGUACAUGUGUGUAUAUUAUUGAUCUGGGUAUUAAAUGCCCCGCCGGAUCCGCCCCUUCUCCGGAGAUCGCUCGCUCUCUCCGGGCUGGGGAUCAUCCCGAUCUCCACUGUACCUUCACUGUCGCGUCGUCCUGCUGUCAUCUCAGGAUGGUGCGCCGCUGUGAGCCGGCGCCCUCCCCUUGCUCUCUUCGCUUCUCUUUUGGUUUGUUCUAAUGCUGUGCAGGCAUGGGCGUGAUCGACGUAUCAUUUAAGAACCUGCUGCUCGAAAUUACGCAGAGGCUGUCCAUACCUGUGCCGAAGUAUGGCCUUACUGUGGAUUCAUCGGGGCAGCUUACUGGUUACGUCGAUGUUUGCGACUGUCUAGCCUAAUCCUUUUUGCUUUUGUCGGGAUCGGGCUUCCAUGUGUUCUCUUUUCUUUUGCUUGGUCAUCAGAUCUCAUGCUUUUUGUGCUUUCUACCUCUUUUGGCCUAGAAUAUGUAGUAGUUUUUACUUCGUUCUGUUUUUAAUUUGGUUGUCAUGGUGUUCCCCUCUCUUCGGUUCAGUGAUAUCAGGUCUACUGUUCUCCAUGACUACUCUUCCCUUGGUUUUGUUUUCCCUACAUUUUUUAUGUGAUUUCCCAUGUUUACUAUUGUUCCACUGUUAUAUAUGUUUACUUUGGAUAGCACUUGGUCUUUGAUGCCUAACAAGCUUUAUAUCUUGGCAUGCAAUAUAGUAGGAGUUGUAGGAUUGCAUGUGUUUAAUUACUUACAAAUUGGUUGGAAGUUGCCUUACAAGUGUUUACAUUGUAACUUGAAUGUGCCCAUAUAGACAGA